AACGAACGCUGGCGGCAGGCCUAACACAUGCAAGUCGAACGCCGUAGCAAUACGGAGUGGCAGACGGGUGAGUAACGCGUGGGAACCUACCUUACGGUCGGGAAUAGCUCAGGGAAACUUGGGGUAAUACCGGAUACGCCCUUACGGGGAAAGAUUUAUCGCCGUUAGAUGGGCCCGCGUAGGAUUAGCUAGUUGGUGAGGUAAUGGCUCACCAAGGCGACGAUCCUUAGCUGGUCUGAGAGGAUGAUCAGCCACACUGGGACUGAGACACGGCCCAGACUCCUACGGGAGGCAGCAGUGGGGAAUAUUGGACAAUGGGCGCAAGCCUGAUCCAGCCAUGCCGCGUGAGUGACGAAGGCCUUAGGGUUGUAAAGCUCUUUUGGCGGGGAAGAUAAUGACGGUACCCGCAGAAUAAGCUCCGGCUAACUUCGUGCCAGCCGCCGCCGUAACAC
rnacentral:rRNA from 1 species